GAAGGUACAGUUUAAGUGGUGGAGCACACGCUUAGCAUGUGUGAGGUCCUGGGUUCAAUCCCCAGCACCUCCA
rnacentral:tRNA from 1 species